rnacentral:rRNA from 1 species
UACGUAGGCAGCGAGCGUUGUUCGGAGUUACUGGGCGUAAAGCGUGCGUAGGCGGUGUCUUAAGUUUGUUGUGAAAUCUCCCGGCUUAACCGGGAGGGUGCGGCGAAUACUGAGAUGCUGGAGUGCGGGAGAGGUAAGCGGAGUUCCCGGUGUAGCGGUGAAAUGCGUAGAUAUCGGGAGGAACACCUGCGGUGUAGACGGCUUACUGGACCGUAACUGACGCUGAGGCACGAAAGCGUGGGUAGCAAACAGG